rnacentral:rRNA from 1 species
CAAAUUUCUGCCCUAUCAACUUUCGAUGGUAGAGUAGUGGUCUACCAUGGUUUGCAACGGGUAACGGGGAAUUAGGGUUCUAUUCCGGAGAGGGAGCCUGAGAAACGGCUACCACAUCCAAGGAAGGCAGCAGGCGCGCAAAAUUACCCAAUCCCGACACGGGAAGGGUAGUGACAAUAAAUACUGAUACAGGGCUCUUUUGGGUCUUGUUAAUUGGAAUGAGUACAAUUUAAAUCCCUUAACGAGGAACAAUUGGAGGGCAAGUCUGGUGCCAGCAGCCGGGUAAAUUCCAGCUCCAAUAGCGUAUAUUAAAGUUGUUGCAGUUAAAAAGCUCGUAGUUGAACCUUGGG